UCCGAUAUGGUGUAGUGGCCAACAUGAUGCCCUCUCAUUGUGUGAGAGGCCAGGCAUAGCCCCGAGUUCGAUUCUCGGUUUCGGAA
rnacentral:tRNA from 1 species